AUUGAACGCUGGCGGCAUGCUUUACACAUGCGAGUCGAACGGCAGCGCGGGCUUCGGCCUGGCGGCGAGUGGCGAACGGGUGAGUAAUGCAUCGGAACGUGCCCAGUAGUGGGGGAUAGCCCGGCGAAAGCCGGAUUAAUACCGCAUACGACCUGAGGGUGAAAGCGGGGGACCGAAAGGCCUCGCGCUAUUGGAGCGGCCGAUGUCGGAUUAGCUAGUUGGUGGGGUAAAGGCUUACCAAGGCGACGAUCCGUAGCUGGUCUGAGAGGACGACCAGCCACACUGGGACUGAGACACGGCCCAGACUCCUACGGGAGGCAGCAGUGGGGAAUUUUGGACAAUGGGGGCAACCCUGAUCCAGCCAUGCCGUGUGCGGGAAGAAGGCCUUCGGGUUGUAAACCGCUUUUGUUCGGGAAGAAAUCCUCUGGGCUAAUACCCCGGGGGGAUGACGGUACCGGAAGAAUAAGCACCGGCUAACUACGUG
rnacentral:rRNA from 1 species